rnacentral:rRNA from 1 species
AGACGAACCGGUCGAACGUUAUUCGGAAUUACUGGGCGUAAAGGGUUCGUAGGCGGUUAUUUAAGUCAGAUGUGAAAGCCCUGGGCUCAACCUAGGAAUUGCAUCUGAUACUGAGUAGCUAGAGUUUAAGAGAGGAGUGUGGAAUUUCCGGUGUAGCGGUGAAAUGCAUAGAGAUCGGAAGGAACAUCAGUGGCGAAGGCGGCACUCUGGCUUAAAACUGACGCUGAGGAACGAAAGCGUGGGUAGCAAACAGGAUUAGAAACCCCAGUAGUCC